CCCCCCCCCUUCCACCCUAGGUAUCUUGACCCAUGGACUUUACUCAUUUGAUACUUGGGGGUGAGGGAAUUGAAAGGGGGGGGGGGGUCGGUCCUAUCCUCAGACAGGCUGGGCCGUGACCUGUGGUUAUAGCUGAUGUACUCCAUCAUAUGUCUCUAAACAGAAGCAAAUACGGAUAAACUAUAUAUUUGAUGGUUGAACAUGUUCCAUUCUAUACUGACCGGUUGACGUAUAUUCCAAGUGUGUCCUAAUAAAGAUGUGAAAAGAAGUUACCAUGGUCACUACAACUACUUGGACGUCCAAGGUCAGUCCCUGCAAAUCCGCGAAGUUGGUGCUCUCAUUGCAGCUUUAGCUUCUAUCGAACAAGAAAUAAGCCACGCAAAGUCAACAUCAAAAGUACAAAGGGGACAUCAAUGGACGCUGAAAAACUCAUUUGUCAUACCUAUACCAGAAUUAAAGUUAUAAUUUAAAAAGCUAAACAAUGAAUCUAAAAACAGAUUAGGAUGUGUAUAUUUUUAUGCUGACGAGUAGUUUAUUUCACUGGCUUGUAUACAAUGUAGAUCUAUAUCUGUCUUGUCAUGUAUAUGCAAAUACGAUCGAUUAUCUUAAAAAUUAACAAACACUUAAUGAAUGUAAAUACAUUAUCAAUGUUGAAGUUUUAUGAGAUGGUUAUUCCCGAGUAUUCAUAGCUAGACUCAAAGUCAAUGGGGCCAAUUUUGGAAACUCAAAUAGGGAUAAUUUUUAACUCUUUUGUGCUAAAAUACACAGCAUUUGUUUUUCUUGAAUUGAACUUAUGAAACCAUUAUAUAUUUUUAGAUUAUUUAUCUACAUAUACUUUAAAUGUCUAUUUAAUCAUUUUUUAAAGAAAUAAAGUACGAGCUUUCGUGAAUGUUGCAGAAUAACUUCCAAGGUCGAGAAAUGUUGUUUUGCAAUAAAGAGGCCGAUGCGUUCCAUGUAACCUCAAUGAUUUUGUUAAGACUAGGUGAAAGUUUACAUGUUUAUCGAUCGCAUGCUGACAUGCAGACGACAAAAUGUUUUUCGUUGGAUGUUUAAUACAUCAUGAAAAAUCUUUGGACCAUAUUUCUUAAUUUUAAGGGUAAUUUAAUACAAUUAUUAAUUAAAACUACACCUUAUUUGAAUAGUUUAAUAUGUAAAAACACGCAUUACAAAAAGUGUGGUAUUGGAGGACCUUCGAACAGUCGCAUAGAGCUCUUAUUAAUCAAAAUAAACAUGUAAGGCAAUACACUUCGUUUUGAAUGGAACUAAGACAUGAAAUUGACAUGGAUUUAAAACUUUUAUAAGUUUUAAAGUUAUAAUUUCAUGAUCGAUAUCAGUGCGAGGGUAAUAUGUAUUUUUGACUGAUAAUCUAUGGGUCGUUCAUUCUAGACGUAUAUUGGAUAAUAAUGGCUGCGGCAUCUCUUUGAUCUCAGCAAUAACAGUAUAGUAGAAAUAUAUGAUAAUGAUUUGAAUCGAUUCAUAUAAUAAUUCAUUUACAAAAUGGCCAUUCCGUGCAUGUACAUUAAUCAAAAUUAUUCACUAAUGAUUCAAAUAAUUGCAAUCAAUGAAUUCUCGGAUUUUUUUUUUAUAAAAAUAAUCCCAAUUAAUAAAAUAUUAUUUUCCAAAUUUUCCACCUAUAGUAAACAUGAACUAAAAUAAAUCA